UGUAAGCAAUGUGGCAAGAGAUUUUCUUACUCAUACAGUUUACAUAGGCAUAAGCAAACUCAUACAUGAGAAAAUCGUAUUUGUAAACGAUUUGGCAGUUGAUUUUUUUAAUUUACUUAGGCAUGAGCGAACUCCUACCGAAAAGACAUAUCAUGUUUGUAACGAAUGUGGCAAGGGUUUUAUUGAGUAAUUCAACAUAAAAUCUCACAGAUGAGAAAUUGCAAGUUUGUGGGUCAUGUAGUAAAAGUUAUUGUCAAGACAGACCAAUUUAAUGAUUCACACUAAAAUAGAGAAAACAAGAUGUAUAUGAAUGUAUUUGGGAGGGUUUCGCACAAAAAGGGUUGUUAUAAACAUAUUAUAACAACCCAAUGGGGAAAACCAGGUUUUCAUGUAUAUGAUUGUACUAUCUCAAGCUUGAAAGGCUACUAUACUGUUUGUGUAUUAUACAUAUUAUAUUUACAUUGCUGCCGCACUUAGAGAGUAGUUCAUCGUGUUUUAUACCCAUUUUGGUUUCGUCAUUUGGUAUAUAUUUGAUUUUUUUUUACCAUGGUUGAUUUCGCCAUAACCAUUAUUAACACCUGGAUAUAAUAAUAUUCUUAAGUUUUGUUGUGAAUAGUAAUUUAAAUAAAUUUUAUUUCAGUGCCAACGGUUAGUUUUUCUGUGUAGGAUUGAUUUGAAUAAAAAAAAUGUUUGCUGCUGCAAAGGUCAGGCUAGAUCUGACACGGCCCGUUUGGUAAUUCCAUCUGGCCCGCCCAAUGCAUUACCAAGGAUUGCCUCUGUUUUACUAUGCACGGAUCAUGUCAUAUCUAUUAAUGCCAUAAUACAAGAUGGAUUAAUUCGCUUUGAAAGCUUCUGUUCCUUAACAUAUAAAAAUCAGAAGAUCUAUUUAUCAACUUAAAAAAAAGAAACUGCAAUUUUGCAGUCUCUAAAAAAUGCGGAAGUGCCUCACAGCUCUGUGUGCUUAUAGUACUUAUGUUUACUAUAACUGAUUACUACACAGUGCCUACAACUAAUUGCUCUUCCCCUAAAUGAAAUUCACUUGCGUAUCAAAUAGAAAGACAAGAAAUUCUUCAACUCUAUAAUGUGAAAUGUAUAUUUAAGUUUUUUAUUAUAUUUUAUGACGAUGGUAAGAGUCACGAAAUGCAAAAAUUUUCUUGUAAUUUUAUAUAUCCGCA